GCAGCUGUUCCUGUGCAGCCCAGCCCCACACCUCUUCCCCUCCUGACCCUGCUGACCCUAAUUAAGGACUAAUUAAUGAACUGCAGGUGUUCCUAUGUGACCCGGCCCCUCCCCCCUUCCCCUCCUGACCCUGCUGAUCUUAAUUAAUGACUCAUUAACUAAUUAAUUGCAGCUGUUCCUGUGCAGCCCAGCCCCACACCUUUUCCCCCACUGUCCCUCAUGCCCCUAAUUAACGACUAAUUAACUAACCGCUGGUGUUCCUGUGCUGCCCAGCCCCACACCUUUUUCCCCGCUGGCCCUCCUGGCCCUAAUUAAGGACUAAUUAACUAAUUGCAG
ensembl:lncRNA